ACAAAGACCGCGAGGCAGAGCAAAACCCUAAAAAGUCGUCUCAUUCGGAUUGCAGGCUGCAACUCGCCUGCAUGAAGUCGGAAUUGCUAGUAAUCGCGGAUCAGAAUGCCGCGGUGAAUACGUUCCCGGGUCUUGUACACACCGCCCGUCACACCAUGGGAGUCGGAAAUGCCCGAAGUCUGUGACCCAACCGGAAGGAGGGAGCAGCCGAAGGCAGGUCGGAUGACUGGGGUGAAGUCGUAACAAGGUAUC
rnacentral:rRNA from 1 species